rfam:Hordeum vulgare subsp. vulgare, WGS project CAJW01000000 data, contig: morex_contig_41573
AUACCUUUCUCGGCCUUUUGGCUAAGAUCAAGUGUAGUAUCUGUUCUUAUCAGUUUAAUAUCUGAUAUGUGGACCAUGUGUCCAUAACGAUAUUAAAUUUAUUUUUUAUGGAGGAGGGUCCUACACGAUAGCUUGCUAUUAGGGCCCUUAUGUGUCGCCUAGGCGUUGCACUAUUGCCUAGGCCUGGUGCGCCCCAA